GAGAGGUUUUGGCAUCAGAAACGAGGGGGAGAGGGGAUUUGUGGGUGAGGAAGGCAAGAAAGAUUGAUGGUGGGUUUUUGCAGCAGUAACGAGGGUUGUAUGAUUCUUCUCCAUGUCCAUUGUCCAGUGCCAGGGAGGGAACAAUCCCAUCUGAUUAUAGUUCUGAGCUCCCUUAAUUACACCCCUCCCCCCCCCGUCUCUCUCUCUCUCUAUCUGACUCUCUCACUUAUUAUGCUAUUACCAUAGACCGUUUCUCCCUUGCUUGUUCUUCUCCUCUUUCCCUUUCUUCUUCUGCUUCUCUGUGUGCUUUGCAUGCGUGCACCUCACUCAAAACUCUCUCUCUCUCUCUCGUGUACACAAACAUUUACCUCUUUCCCUCAAAAAGAGCCCCCACCUGUAGCCACUCUUGCCUCUUUCUCAUCGGUUCUCUCACGCUGUAUAUAUGUUCUAACAUGGUGAAAAUGAGUUGAGGUUUUUAAUUUCAUGUGGGCUUUGGCGAAGGAAAAGGAAGGAGGUUAUUUUAGUUUCAUGUGGGUUUGGCAAAGGGUUUCUUACAGAGUUUAUUGGCAUUCUGUCCACCUCCACCAAAGGAAAUCCAUCUCUCUCUCUCGUUUUCUCUUCUUUUUUAAUGGAGGUGGGCAUCCUGCCAACAAAGCUCUGUUGGCUUCUCUUUGUAAAACCCAUGUGAUGUUCUCUCUAUGGGGACUCUCCAUUUCAUCUGUGCUGCUCUCUUCUAUUAUGCAGGUGAUGAAGAGGUUUGAUUGUCUGCUACUGCAAUCUGCAUGCGACUGAGAAAGCAAUAUCAUCUCAGACGGCUUUUGUGUUUGUGUUUUGUUAUUCUUGGUUGAGUUGAUCCCACCAAACUGUCCUUCCAAAACCCUAAUUUCUCGUUUCACUAGAUCUUUUGAAAAAGAUAAUUUAAAACUAAAAGGGUUUCUUCUCUUCUUUGUUUCUCCACAUAUAUGAUAGUGUUUGUACAUGAAGGAUUCA